AAUGUGUGAGGUGGUGCUAUGUAGCAGGAACCCCUCUUGCUUUGCAAAUAGUUUUUUGUUUGUUUUCCUUUUUGCCCAAUAGAGCCCUGCUCUACUGACCCUUCAAUGUGCCCGUGUGCCUAAAUAUUCCUGGUCGUGUGAAAAGAACCCAGUCAAGCUCAACUUGCAGAACUGAUGGGAACCCCUUGGGAAAACUGGCCUCAAAUGUUUGUCUACACAGUCCACAUACAGGGUUCUUAACCUGCGACUGACCCUGCUUGUGCCUGUGAACCAACCAACAAUCUCUGGCUGCAGCUCAGAAAGGACAAAAGAGAAUGGAUGAGGGAAACUUCCCAGGGCUUGUCUGGGUAUGCCCACAGUGGACUGGAGCCCAAAAUGCACACUGGAGGAAGUGGAUGGAGCCACGUGGAUGUCAUGCCUUAUGCAGGGGAGGAGCCUGCUCUCUUCAGCUCCUGUGGUAAUGUGGGAAUCGAUCUGUGAGAUUCCAUGAACUCCAAGUUAAGAACACAUGAUCUGGAUGUUUGACAAAAUACCUUCAGCAGGAAUAAUGAAAGCCCUGACAUUUCUGUGUGCAUAAAAACUGGAAAACUUUAAAAGUAAUAAAUCACCAAGUCUUUAUAAAAA
rnacentral:lncRNA from 1 species